rnacentral:rRNA from 1 species
GAUGAACGCUAGCUACAGGCUUAACACAUGCAAGUCGAGGGGUAACGAGAGGAAAGCUUGCUUUCCUUGUCGACGACCGGCGCACGGGUGAGUAACGCGUAUCCAACCUGCCCCCAACUAGGGAAUAACCUUGCGAAAGUAAGACUAAUACCCUAUAAUUUCCUCAGAUGUCAUCUGACGAGGAAUAAAGAUUUAUCGGUUGUGGAUGGGGAUGCGUCUGAUUAGCUUGUUGGCGGGGUAACGGCCCACCAAGGCAACGAUCAGUAGGGGUUCUGAGAGGAAGGUCCCCCACAUUGGAACUGAGACACGGUCCAAACUCCUACGGGAGGCAGCAGUGAGGAAUAUUGGUCAAUGGGCGGAAGCCUGAACCAGCCAGGUAGCGUGCAGGAUGACGGCCCUAUGGGUUGUAAACUGCUUUUAUACAGGAAUAAAGUUAGCCACGUGUGGUUAUUUGUAGGUACUGUAUGAAUAAGGACCGGCUAAUUCCGUGCCAGCAGCCGCCGAA